rnacentral:rRNA from 1 species
AUUGAACGCUGGCGGCAUGCCUUACACAUGCAAGUCGAACGGCAGCACGGGUGCUUGCACCUGGUGGCGAGUGGCGAACGGGUGAGUAAUACAUCGGAACGUACCUUAUCGUGGGGGAUAACGCAGCGAAAGCUGUGCUAAUACCGCAUACGCCCUGAGGGGGAAAGCGGGGGAUCGCAAGACCUCGCGCGAUUAGAGCGGCCGAUGCCUGAUUAGCUUGUUGGUGGGGUAAAAGCCCACCAAGGCGACGAUCAGUAGCUGGUCUGAGAGGACGAUCAGCCACACGGGGACGGAGACACGGCCCAGACUCCUACGGGGGGCAGCAGGGGGGAAUUUUGGACGAUGGGGGCAACCCUGAUCCAGCAAUGCCGCGUGAGUGAAGAAGGCCUUCGGGUUGUAAAGCUCUUUUGUCAGGGAAGAAACACCGGCUCUAACACAGUCUGGGAAUGACGGUACCUGAAGAAUAAGCACCGGCUAACUACGUGCCAGCCGCCGCGGUAA